GUAAAGGCUGGAACAAAAUAAUGGCAUUUCUCUUCAGUUCAACGGGCAAAGUUGAAAGAUGUUUUUGAAAGAUUAGCCACGUCAAAAUCCACGCCACGAGCAGACACUGGCAAGAUUAUUAAUCCGGAUUUGUGACCUGUGAGGGAUUCCAGCCACAUUCCCGCAUGUCGGCUCCGUCAAUGAUGAACGGCGUGGCCUUUGCUGAUGUCACCUUUUGGCGGUCAGAUGACAAAGUGAGGCUGGGGGGCUGGAGGCUGGCUACACAAUGCAUUCCCCGGAGGCUCACUUGACAGAUAACCACCCAGCAACUGUCUCUGGUGCUUCUGUGACAGCCAAGCCCCCCCAACCCCCUCCUCCACCCACAAUGACUUCCAUCAAAGCAAAGGUGAAGGUAAUGUUUUUCUGAUUAAAAUAGAAGUGGGCGCUUUGCACAUUUCACACACCAUAAACGUGCAUCAGAUUACUUGCUCCACUAAUAAAUUACGAUCUCAUCUAUUAAUAGUCAAUAGUGAGCCCUCAAGGAGGUUUUUGAGUGUCCCACCCCCAAAGUCACUUUCACACGAGAACCUGAAAUUUGAGAGGCAUGUCUAUCAUGUACAGUAAAUCCAUUCAUUCAUUAAGCUCACGAGGGUCACAGGCGUCCUGUAGUCUCUAUCCCAGCUGGGUACAACCUGAACUGGUUCCCAGCCAAUCGCAUCGCACACAUAAACAACUAUUCACACUCACGAUCACACCUCGGGACAUUUUGGUUGGAGCAACCAUUUUGGCUCACAAACACACUUGUGAAUGUUUUCAAGUGUUUGCUCCCAACUCCACUUUCACUUAGCAACAUCUAUCAUGAGUAGACGCACAAAAAAAGUCUUAAGAAGGCAAGAUUAAAAAGACACUGAAAGUCUGACAUUUUGGUUUGAAGUGGUGCCCCCCCCCCCCAGCCACUUCAUUUAUUUUAAAGGGGCACUUCAAAACGUGUCCCUAACAAGCAUAGGGGUGUGAUGGUCUGUUCCCCUUGACAUUGAUGAAUCUGUUAUUUGACAUGCAAACACCCCCCCCCCCCCCGACCCCAGCCUCUU